rnacentral:lncRNA from 1 species
UAAUUUUCCUAAUUAUAAUUAUUAUAUUUUAAAAGAAAAAAAUGCAAUGAAAUUAUUAACUUAUGAUAUAUUAUUAAAACAAUGGUAUUUUUUUUAUUAUAACAAAUUAAAUUAUAAAAAUCAUUUAUUUAAUAUCAUUUUUAAUCUUAAGUUAUAUAAAAAUAUAUCACAUCACUAUAAUACACUACCCUGGGCUUAUCAAAUCAAUAGCAUACUUAAAUUUAUUUAUAUGAGACACAUGUUUCAAGAAGAUGAUUCUAAUACGAAAACAAAUAUUUUUAAUGUACCUUUAUUUGAAUCCAUUGAAAUAUUUGUGGGUAGAACUCAUACAAUUCUUUUGAUUAAUCAGUAUGUAUGUAACGACCAAAUGUCAUCCAUUCGAAAUAAUAAUGAAAAUUCAACAAGUUACUUAAAAUUUGUGUAUAGUAUAGGAUCUAAUGAUAAAGGACAGUUAGGUUAUUAUAAUUUAUUUGAGAAAAAUUUUACUAGCAACGCCUAUGAUGCGUUUAAUUUAAAAAGGGAUGAAUAUUGGAAUAAAAUGAAAACACAAUACAGUGAUAGUGACUCUAACGAAAAGACAUAUAGAGAAAGCAUAAUUACAUCAAAUGAACAACACCACCCAAAUGGAAAUACCCUACUUAAAAAUACUUUUGACAAUGACAUUCAGAGCGAAAACAAAGAUGCAAAACAGUUGCAAAAGGGGGGGAGGGUUUUAAAAAGCAAAGAAGAUGACCGAGUUGUUAAAAAAAGUAUGCAAGUAGGUGAACAAAAUAACGAGGGUAAAAAAUGUGGAAGAAGGGAAAAUGAUCGUAGUAGCAAUAGUGGCGGUGGCAGUACUAGUAGGGGCAGUACUAUUGGGGGCAUCCUUAACACUUGUACAUCAUUUAAUAACAAUGAGUCCAUCGAAAAUACUAAAGAACUCGUCCACAAAAAUAACAACCACAUAUUAUAUAACAAAAACCAGAACAAACCACAACACUUAAUAUUCGAAUAUAAAUACAAAUAUACUACAGAAAAAAAACGUUUUUCUUCAUUCAAUCGAGAAUAUACAAUA